rnacentral:misc_RNA from 1 species
UCUCCGUAGGUGAACCUGCGGAGGGAUCAUUACAGAGUUCUCGCCCCUCCGGGUAGAUCUCCCACCCACUGUGAUUGAUACUGUGUUGCUUUGGCGGGCCGCCGGGCCCUGCCCGUCCGCCGGCUCCGGCUGGCGCGCGCCCGCCACAGGCUCCGCAAACUCUGAAUGGCAGUGUUGUCUGAGUACUAUAUAAUAGUUAAAACUUUCAACAACGGAUCUCUUGGUUCUG